AUUGAACGCUGGCGGCAGGCCUAACACAUGCAAGUCGAACGGUAACAGGAAGCAGCUUGCUGCUUCGCUGACGAGUGGCGGACGGGUGAGUAAUGUCUGAAGCUGCCUGAUGGAGGGGGAUAACUACUGGAAACGGUAGCUAAUACCGCAUAAUGUCGCAAGACCAAAGAGGGGGACCUUCGGGCCUCUUGCCAUCGGAUGUGCCCAGAUUGGAUUAGCUUGUUGGUGGGGUAACGGCUCACCAAGGCGACGAUCCCUAGCUGGUCUGAGAGGAUGACCAGCCACACUGGGACUGAGACACGGUCCAGACUCCUACGGGAGGCAGCAGUGGGGAAUAUUGCACAAUGGGCGCAAGCCUGAUGCAGCCAUGCCGCGUGUAUGAAGAAGGCCUUCGGGUUGUAAAGUACUUUCAGCGGGGAGGAAGGGAGUAAAGUUAAUACCUUUGCUCAUUGACGUUACCCGCAGAAGAAGCACCGGCUAACUCCGUG
rnacentral:rRNA from 1 species